GGCGGGGGAGGUGCGGGGCGGAGAGCCGGGCUGGGGCUGGGCGCACGUCGAGGGCUUUGGCCGACGCGGCAGAGCACAGCCGCCCCACCGGCUUUGGGCCCAGGAUCCAGGCGUCUGGACACAGGUCGAGCUGUCGGCGGGGCAGAGGCUCCAGCCCAGAGCGGUCUCCAGUGCCCAGCCCACCCAGCUCCCCAAGGACCCAAGAAAGCUGUGGCAUUGCCCCCCUCACACCCUCACAGUCUCCAGUAAGCCCAGAGCAGGGAUUGGGGUGGUGGGUGGCCUGGUUAGUGGGGAAGGUCACACUGGUGUCUGGAAGAACCCUGGCAGGUCUGGGCUGGGGGUGCCAUCAUGCUUCCUGCCCCUACACACUCCACUCAUGUUCCCCCUGAUGGGUUAGCCUUAGGUGACCUUGGACUGUAGGGGUAACAAUUCUACUGAGGUGAUCUCUCUCCAGGAUAACAUCUAGGGACCAUUGCACGUAACCUGCCUGGGGCAGGUGUACUUCUGAGCAAGUAGUUUUGUGUGUUCUCAGAGCACUGGGCCUCCGAGACUUGCUUCCCCUCCUGUCAACCACAGCCACCUUAAUACAAGGUAUAUCUAGGGAAGAGGAGACAUGUUGCUAAAAAAUAGUUUGGGGCUAGCUUGAAGUAUCCAGGACAUAACCACCACCCCCAAGCUCCCUAGGUCACCCCACGUGGGGUGGCCUCACCCUAGUGAUUCAGCCUGGGGACCCCCUUUUUCUCAGGGAGCCCAGGCCUGGCCUGGGAGGAGUCAGGGACCACUCUUGGGCACAUGGACAGGCCAUGCAUGGGGCCUCUCUUCUCUGUCACAAAACUGGAUAGAGUCUGGCUGUGUCACUGUGGCCACAAAGAGCAAGAG
rnacentral:lncRNA from 1 species